rnacentral:misc_RNA from 1 species
ACGGGUUAGUAGGUGUGACUGUGAGCCAGUGAGCGGAUGAGCUCACGGAUGGCCCGCAAGGAAAGCGAAGACGGGUGCCUAAAUCUUGAACCGUAAGGAGACUAGAGUCAAUUUUUCUUUAACCUUGUGUAGUGUCGACCGACGAAGCCACCGGAUCCUGGCGCCUAGUUGUGACGCUGGCCACCAGAUGGCAGUCGGGCGGCGCCCGGAGAUGAGCCGCCGGCACCAAAGCAAUCAUCCAUCCAGAUGCUACCUCCUCUGACGGGGCCGGCCGGCCACCAGUGCCGCCGCCCGCCGGUGACGGGAGGCAGUGUCACGUGCUAGUGUGCCUGCGUCUGGUCACGCUACGCCCGCCGGACGAAACUGCACGGGACUUUGUCGGUAAGGAUGAAGCUGCACGAGUGGGGCCUGCUGCUGCUGGCCUAUGUGCUGCUGCUACUGAUCGGAGCCGCCUCCUUCUACUUCCUGGAGCGGGGACACGAGGAGGCCCAGAGACAGCGGCUGCUGCAGCUGAGGAGCGAGGUUCACAGCGAGCUGAUCAGCGGGGCCAACGAGAGCACGGUAACGCGUCGCCAGGCGCUGCUGCGGCGCAUCUCUGACCAAUGCGGCGCGGACAUAAGCGACACGGGCCGGCCGCCGGCCGUCGUCUGGAACGAGUACAACAGCUUCUUCUUCUGCUUCACGGUCGUCACCACCAUCGGUUUCGGCCACAUAGCUCCCUCCACAACUCUGGGACGUGUGGUAUGCAUCCUGUAUGCUCUGGUUGGCAUACCAUUCAAUGGGAUACUGCUAAAGAAUAUAUCGGAUCUCUUCAGCAACAAGGUGAUCCGCGCCCGUCAGCGGAUCAAGAGCCGGCGCUACCAGACGCGUCUGGAGGUGCUCGUGGACACGCUGUUCUACUUGUUCCCGGCCGUGCUGCUGUUCUUCCUGCUCCCGGCCGGCAUAUUUAUAAUGCUGGAGGACUGGGAUUUUGUGCAAGCUCUCUACUUCAGCUUCAUUACCCUGACCACUAUCGGGUUUGGUGACCUGGUGCCAGGCAAGGCAGGUGGCUCUGAUUACGAGUCCGCCUGGCUGUGGCUGUACAAGAUUGGUCUGGUGGUUUGGAUUGUGUUCGGCCUCGGGUAUCUACUAAUGAUACUGGAGUUCAUAUCACGCGCACUGUAUUCAAAGAAAAUAUUGAGUCUCGAGAAGAAGCUUGUGAAAGGCAUUUCAAGAACAAAACAGACAUUCCAAAAGAAUAUAUCCAAAGAAGUUGUACUGUUUAAGAAGCUUUUAAACGAGCUCGCAAUGGAUCGGAGAGUGAAUGCGGUGCCACCUCGCGGCGUGGCUCGGACUCAGAGUUUCCCGAACCUGGCGGCAGGCGGCGGGGACGCGCCGGAGGACGUCGCUGCCGAGCCGCCGGCACCUCUGCGGCGGACCGGGUCGCUGAGCGAGGUGCCGCUGGGCGAGGGGGGCGGUGCCGGCGACAGCGCGCCGCUGGCCGCCGCCCCGCUGUCCGCCGGGUCGGCCACCGACCUGGCCGCCGUGCUGGCCGCGGUGGUCGAGCAGCGGCCGGAGCCGGGCCCCGACGCGGAGCCGGCGCCCGCCAGCCAGGUGCCCUCAGUCGACUCCGCUCUUGAGUUACUACUCCAAGCCAAGGUGACGCUCGAGUGGGACGUCAGCUCCGAAGGCAGCGGUCAAGUCGUUUGCGACGAUGCUGCUGAUGGCGGUGGCGUCGCUGAGGACGUCGAUGACGGUGGCGGCGGGGAGGAGGCGCAGUGGAGCCCGGAUCCUCCGGCGGCGGGGGAUGGGGAGCCAUCGGCCGACGCCGGCUUCCUCCGGCGACUGCAGCACGCCUGGCAGAACCGGCCCAGCCUGCUGCCGGGCGUGUGGCCGGAGCGAGCACCCCGCGGCCCACCGCCGAGCCGGCGCCGGCGCCGCGCCACCACCAGUGUGGCUGACCUGCUGCGCCUGAUGCGGGUGGCGGCGGCGGCGCGGCACAGUCCUCGGCGACCGGCCGGAGCGGCCCCGACCCGGAGACCCCGCCGGCGCCGGACCACCGCCCACUCACCGGCCGUGGUUACCUUCCAGACCGAGAACACGCGGUUGUGACGUGCUCUGAGCCUGGCGAAGACGAACUCCUUGUGACCCAGCCAGUAUACGGCUCCGACUCAAACGAUGUAUAGAGAGGAUAUGCAGACAUUUCUGUCUCAGCUCAAUCAAACUCGCUUUGUAUGUGUGCGUACGGCGCGUAUGAGCGUACGUACGCACACUUAGUGUCUUCCUUUCAGGAAGGUCGCUGUGAGAAUGUGACAGCUUAGCCAGGCGACCCCUGGGACAGCCUUGGAUUGAAAACAAUUUUCCCCGAAGCUUACAUACCUAUCGUAAAUACGUGAGCCGUGAGGGAGCUGCUCGCCUAGCUCACCGAGGAAACCACUGGAGAUGCAAAGGACUGCUAACGAGAAUAAAGAGACUGCCGACGUCA